rnacentral:rRNA from 1 species
CCUACGGGGUGCAGCAGUGAGGAAUAUUGGUCAAUGGCCGCAGGGCUGAACCAGCCAAGUCGCGUGAGGGAUGACGGUCCUAUGGAUUGUAAACCUCUUUUGUCAGGGAGCAAAGGGCGCCACGUGUGGCGCUUUGCGAGUACCUGAAGAAAAAGCAUCGGCUAACUCCGUGCCAGCAGCCGCGGUAAUACGGAGGAUGCGAGCGUUUUCCGGAUUUAUUGGGUUUAACGGGUGCGCAGGCGGAAUGUCAAGUCAGCGGUAAAAUUGCGGGGCUCAACCCCGUCGUGCCGUUGAAACUGGCGUUCUUGAGUGAGCGAGAAGUAUGCGGAAGGCGUGGUGUAGCGGUGAAAUGCAUAGAUAUCACGCAGAACUCCGAUUGCGAAGGCAGCAUACCGGCGCUCAACUGACGCUCAUGCACGAAAGCGUGGGUAUCGAACAGGAUUAGAUACCCGGGUAGUC